GAUCUGCCUGCAUCUACUUCCCAGGUGCUUGGAUUAAAAGUGUGGCCACCACACCUGGCUUUCCCUCUAUAGUUCUUGUAUAUCUGCAUACACGUGUAUCACACACACACACACACACACACACACACACACACACACACACACACACAGUACAAAGCAUCUAUUGACCCUUCUUUUUAUGUUUCUCUUUGUGUGUCCAUUCAGUUCUUUGGACAGAUGUUCUAGUCCUGGACAGUCAAGGGAGUUGGUCAGAAACCUAAUAUUUGGACAAUCUCCAUGGCCAGAAAAAGGUGUGUUAUGAUCUGCAGGGUCUCAUGCUUUUACCUGCAACCAGAGGUUAGGCAGGACACUCAGGAGAUAGGGGCAAAGUGGAGGGAAACUGAUUGGUCACUAAUAAGGGCUUAACAUUAGUACAUAUCAAUUUCCAAGAACUAAAGAAGUAUUAAAUAUUGACUAAAAUGAGUGGGCAAAGACCCUUAAUGUCAGCCAAAAAGGAGAAGAGAGUGAACUGGUUCUACUCAAGAUCAUUGUAAAAAUUCUUAAAAUGAUAAUGCUUACUGAGAAACAAGAUGCCAAGAAUAAAAGUUCAUACAGAGAACAAAAGAAUUUAAAAAGAGGUAUAUGUCUAAAGAAUUAACAAGGUGAAAUGGUGAUGAAUAGAUUUUCCCUUAUUAAGUAUCUAUGGGAGGAGGAAAUUGAGAACCAGGAAAAGCAGUAGGAACUUGAGUCCCUUAAUAACAGUUGAGAAAGGUGAGUGAUGAGAUGUGUUACGGGUUUGUUUUAAGGUAAAAUCAUCUUAUUUCAUAACAGAACUACAGGCACGGAUCUGCUUCUUAAGUAGAAAGAACACUGGAAGGACAUGAGAGUGGCAUAGAAUCUUUAAAGGUGAACAGCAGCCGUGGAAGCAUUUAUUUCAAAUCACACUCAGUGUCUGAUGGGCCAGAGCCACUACAUAUGUUAAAUGGCAGUUAUCAAACUACCCGAAGCGUAGCAAUAUGCCUCCGAAUGCUAGCUACAGCGCAGCAAGGCAUGCCGUUCCUGGUGGGAAGGGCAACGGACAAGUCGAAGUAAGAGUUUAAUUCUGAUGUUCUGAUGUCGUGAGGGUAGGGAGGAGGCAAAGUAGAAAAUCAAAAUAGGCUUUGG
rnacentral:lncRNA from 1 species